rnacentral:rRNA from 1 species
AGAGUUUGAUCAUGGCUCAGAUUGAACGCUAGCGGGAUGCCUUACACAUGCAAGUCGAACGGCAGCGCGGACUUCGGUCUGGCGGCGAGUGGCGAACGGGUGAGUAAUGUAUCGGAACGUGCCCAGUAGCGGGGGACAACCACUCGAAAGAGUGGCUAAUACCGCAUACGCCCUACGGGGGAAAGGGGGGGAUCGCAAGACCUCUCACUAUUGGAGCGGCCGAUAUCGGAUUAGCUAGUUGGUGGGGUAAAGGCCUACCAAGGCGACGAUCCGUAGCUGGUUUGAGAGGACGACCAGCCACACUGGGACUGAGACACGGCCCAGACUCCUACGGGAGGCAGCAGUGGGGAAUUUUGGACAAUGGGGGAAACCCUGAUCCAGCCAUUCCGCGUGUGCGAUGAAGGCCUUCGGGUUGUAAAGCACUUUUGGCAGGAAAGAAAUCGUGUGGGUUAAUACCCUGCGCGGAUGACGGUACCUGCAGAAUAAGCACCGGCUAACUACGUG